rnacentral:rRNA from 1 species
UACGUAGGGGGCAAGCGUUAUCCGGAUUUACUGAGUGUAAAGGGAGCGUAGACGGAUAAGCAAGUCUGAUGUGAAAAUCCGGGGCCCAACCCCGGAAUUGCAUUGGAAACUGCAUAUCUAGAGUGUCGGAGAGGCAGGUGGAAUUCCUGGUGUAGCGGUGAAAUGCGUAGAUAUCAGGAGGAACACCAGUGGCGAAGGCGGCUUGCUGGACGAUGACUGACGUUGAGGCUCGAAAGCGUGGGGAGCAAACAGG